rnacentral:rRNA from 1 species
AGAGUUUGAUCAUGGCUCAGAUUGAACGCUGGCGGUAUGCCUUACACAUGCAAGUCGAACGGUAGAGGGGCAACCCUUGAGAGUGGCGAACGGGUGAGUAAUACAUCGGAACGUGCCCAGUCGUGGGGGAUAACGUAGCGAAAGCUACGCUAAUACCGCAUACGACCCGAGGGUGAAAGCGGGGGACUCGCAAGAGCCUCGCGCGAUUGGAGCGGCCGAUGGCAGAUUAGGUAGUUGGUGGGGUAAAGGCCCACCAAGCCUGCGAUCUGUAGCUGGUCUGAGAGGACGACCAGCCACACUGGGACUGAGACACGGCCCAGACUCCUACGGGAGGCAGCAGUGGGGAAUUUUGGACAAUGGGCGAAAGCCUGAUCCAGCCAUACCGCGUGCGGGAAGAAGGCCUUCGGGUUGUAAACCGCUUUUGUCAGGGAAGAAAUCCUUUGGGUUAAUACCUCGGAUGGAUGACGGUACCUGAAGAAUAAGCACCGGCUAACUACGUGC